GGAAAGGUGAAAAGAACCCCGGGAGGGGAGUGAAAUAGAACCUGAAACCUUAUGCUUACAAGCAGUGGGAGCUAAAGUGACCACGUACUUUUUGUAGAACGGGCCAACGAGUUAUGGUGUGUAGCAAGGUUAAGGUGCUGGAGCACCGGAGCCGUAGCGAAAGCGAGUCUUAAUAGGGCAAAAGUUACAUGCUGUAGACCCGAAACCGGGUGACCUAUCCAUGUGCAGGUUGAAGCGAGAGUAAAAUCUCGUGGAGGACCGAACUCAUGUCUGUUGAAAAAGGCUGGGAUGACGUGUGGAUAGAGGUGAAAUUCCAAUCGAACUCGGAUAUAGCUGGUUCUCCUCGAAAUAGCUUUAGGGCUAGCCUCAAGGAAAAGAUACACGGAGGUAGAGCACUGAAUGUUCUAGGGGCCUUCACCGGUUACCGAAAACUAUCAAACUCCGAAUGCCGUGCAAUCAUACUUGGGAGUCAGACUAUGGGAGAUAAGUUUCAUGGUCGAAAGGGAAACAGCCCAGACCCACAGCUAAGGUCCCAAAAUGUAAGUUAAGUGGAAAAGGAUGUGAAGUUGCAUAAACAGCUAGGAUGUUGGCUUAGAAGCAGCCACUCAUUUAAAGAGUGCGUAAUAGCUCACUAGUCGAGUGACUUUGCGCCGAAGAUAAACGGGGCUAAACUUACUACCGAAGCUUGGGAACUAGAAAUAGUUGGUAGAGGAGCAUCCUGUGAAGGCUGAAGCCAACCUGGAAGGGUUGGUGGACAACACAGGAGAGAGAAUGUUGGCAUGAGUAGCGAGAGGCAGGUGAGAAUCCUGCCCGCCGAAAAUCUAAGGUUUCCUGAGGAAGGUUCGUCCACUCAGGGUUAGUCGGGGCCUAAGCCGAGAGCGAACGCUGUAGGCGAUGGACAACUGGUAGAUAUUCCAGUACCACCGAAUGUCGUUAUAAGUGAAGUGGGGACACAGAAGGAUAGGUUGAGCGCACCGUUGGUAGAGUGCGUCCAAGCGUUAAGGGAGCUGAAGCAGGCAAAUCCGCAUCAGCAAUUCUGAGGCGUUACGGGGAGUCUAAAAAGACGGAAGCAACUGAUUUCAUACUGUCAAGAAAAGCCGCUAGCAAGACACUAGGUGCCCGUACCGCAAACCGACACAGGUAGAUGAGGAGAGAAUCCUAAGGCGAGCGAGAGAACUAUUGUUAAGGAACUCGGCAAAAUUACCCCGUAACUUCGGGAGAAGGGGUGCCUGCGAAGAGCAGGCCGCAGUGAAUAGGCCCAGGCGACUGUUUACCAAAAACACAGGUCUCUGCUAAAGCGAAAGCUGAAGUAUAGGGGCUGACGCCUGCCCGGUGCUGGAAGGUUAAGGGGAAUGCUUAGCGCAAGCGAAGGUGUGAACUUAAGCCCCAGUAAACGGCGGCCGUAACUAUAACGGUCCUAAGGUAGCGAAAUUCCUUGUCAGGUAAGUUCUGACCCGCACGAAAGGCGUAACGAUCUGGGCACUGUCUCAACAAUAGACUCGGUGAAAUUGUAGUACCGGUAAAGAUGCCGGUUACCCGCAGCAGGACGGAAAGACCCCAUGGAGCUUUACUGUAGCUUGAUAUUGAGUUUUGGCAUUGCAUGUACAGGAUAGGUGGGAGACUGAGAAGUUAGGACGCCAGUUUUAGCUGAGUCACCGUUGGGAUACCACCCUUGUAAUGUUGAAAUUCUAACCGUGCGCCGUAAUCCGGUGUCGGGACAGUGUCUGGUGGGCAGUUUGACUGGGGCGGUCGCCUCCUAAAGAGUAACGGAGGCGCCCAAAGGUUCCCUCAGAGCGGACGGAAAUCGCUCGAA
rnacentral:rRNA from 1 species